GACAGAGGGUGCAAACGUUGCUCGGAAUUACUGGGCGUAAAGGGCGCGUAGGCGGCCCGCUAAGUCGAACGUGAAAUCCCCGAGCUCAACUCGGGAACUGCGUCCGAUACUGGUGGGCUUGAAUCCGGGAGAGGGAUGCGGAAUUCCAGGUGUAGCGGUGAAAUGCGUAGAUAUCUGGAGGAACACCGGUGGCGAAGGCGGCAUCCUGGACCGGCAUUGACGCUGAGGCGCGAAAGCUAGGGGAGCAAACGGG
rnacentral:rRNA from 1 species